rnacentral:misc_RNA from 1 species
UUUCCGUAGGUGAACCUGCGGAAGGAUCAUUGUCGAAACCUGCCCAGCAGAACGACCCGCGAACUUGUAUAAACAACUGGGGGCGGGGGGCGUUCUCGCCCCGUGCCCCCGAACGGCGGGGAGACACUCGGGCCUUCUUGCCGAACAACGAACCCCGGCGCGGUCUGCGCCAAGGAACUUCAACUAAAGAGUGCCUCCGGUCGCCUCGGAAACGGCGUGCGUGCCGGAGGCGAAUCUUGUGCAAAACCAUAACGACUCUCGGCAACGGAUAUCUCGGCUCUC